GUACUGCAGAAGAGUCCCAAACUAGGACGAAACAGUUGUCCAGUAC
rnacentral:hammerhead_ribozyme from 1 species